rnacentral:rRNA from 1 species
UACGUAGGCAGCAAGCGUUGUUCGGAGUUACUGGGCGUAAAGGGUGUGUAGGCGGUUCUUUAAGUUUGCUGUGAAAUCUCCCGGCUUAACCGGGAGGGUGCGGUGAAUACUGAGGGACUAGAGUACGGGAGAGGAAAGUGGAAUUCCUGGUGUAGCGGUGAAAUGCGUAGAUAUCAGGAGGAACACCAAUAGCGAAGGCAGCUCGCUGGGACGUUACUGACACUGAGGCGCGAAAGCGUGGGGAGCGAACAGG